rnacentral:rRNA from 1 species
UAACAGGUUAAGCUGAGGACUCUAUUUCAACUGCCUGCGCAAGCAGAGAGGAAGGAGGGGACGACGUCAAGUCAUCAUGGCCCUUACGUCCAGGGCUACACACGUGCUACAAUGGCGUGUACAGAGUGUUGCGAGGCAGUGAUGCCAAGCCAAUCACUAAAAGCACGUCACAGUUCGGAUUGCAGGCUGCAACUCGCCUGUAUGAAGCUGGAAUCGCUAGUAAUCGCGCAUCAGCAAUGGCGCGGUGAAUACGUUCCCGGACCUUGUACACACCGCCCGUCAAGCCAUGGAAGUCGGGGAGACCUAAAGCGGAAGGUAACAUACUUCGUUAGGGUAAAUCUGGUAACUGGGGCUAAGUCGUAACAAGGUAGCCGUACCGGAAGGUGU